UACGGGGGGGGCAAGCGUUGUUCGGAAUUACUGGGCGUAAAGGGCUCGUAGGCGGCCAACUAAGUCAUACGUGAAAUCCCUCGGCUUAACCGGGGAACUGCGUCUGAUACUGGCAAGCUUGAGUGCAGGAGAGGAACGCGGAAUUCCAGGUGUAGCGGUGAAAUGCGUAGAUAUCUGGAGGAACACCGGUGGCGAAGGCGGCGUUCUGGACUGCAACUGACACUGAGAGACGAAAGCCAGGGGAGCAAACGGG
rnacentral:rRNA from 1 species